GAGGGGUGUGUUUCCUUGAGCAUCUUCUUCAUUUACAAGCCCUCUCAAUCUCAGCCAGUGAUUUAAAAGGUAAGUACUGUUUUCCCCUUUUUCCAUCAUGGCAAAGUGACAAAUAUUAUGGCCCUUGUCAUCAACCUGCUCGCUACAAUCCGGGAAUUGAGAUAGGAGCUCCUCUACUAUUUUCCCAUGAUGGUGGAGUGAUGCAAUAUGAAGGGCAGUCUUUUUCCCAUCUUUGGUCCCAAGGUAGACUACACUCUUAUCUGAUUUCUCUAGUAAUCGCCUCACUAUUGUUGGAUCAUCUCCACUCUCUGCAGCAAAGUGGAGCGGAGACCACCCAUUGUCAUCUACUUCUUUGGUCAGAGCGGGUUUCCAUUCCAGUAUCUUCUCUGUGAUUUCUGAUAAAUAGAUAAAUACAAAAAAUUUAAAAAUAUAUAUAACAAAAAAACAAAAUAAAUAUAAGUCCCCUAAUUACCUUUGUCAUUGCAGAUUACAGCAGCAUGCAAGGCCGUUCUACCGUUGAAACCACCGUAAGCUGGUGAAUGGCAAGUGCUUAUGAUCAUACCCACCAUGUCUACAAAUCUUCUCUCAGCAGCUAUGUAAAGAGGAGUCCUGCCAGAACUAUUAGGACCAUAGGUAAACUCCGGGUCUUUCUCAAUCAAUAACUUCACCACAUCAGAAUGCCCAUAUCGCACUGCCUCAUGUAAGGCUGUGUCUUUCCUCUUAUUUUUGGUUCUCAAAAUCACCUUUUCUGCUCCAAUCCCGGUUUCAAUAUCUACGGGAAGUGAUUUUGCAGUGCGUAUAAGAGCUUCCACGACCUUCAAAUGCCCUUCCCUUGCUGCAAGGUGAAGCGGAGUCUCGCCUUUCAGAUUUGGCCGUUGCAGUAGAGAGGAACAUGAAAGGCAACGUAAGGAUCCAUUGCACACAGUCUAGUUUACCGAACUGGGCUGCGAUGUGGAGUAUUGUGUUAUGGUUUGGGGUUAACUGGACUUGAAAUUCAUGCUCUGAAAUCUUCUUGAGGUCAUCGAUCUUCCCCUCCGCUGCCGCCUUGUACAGACCGGCAUCCAUGCCUGUGAUGACAGUUUGUCUGCCAUCUGCAUUUGCAGCCUGAUUUGAAAUUCUGCAAUCCUGCAAUUCUGCGCCGUGAUUGGAAGCACCCAGCUGAUCCAUUAAGUGUUUUUCCUCUCCAACUGUAGUGAACUGAAACGAAUGGAAGCAAUUUAUUUAUGUCAUUAUGUUGUGACGUGCAAAGUUGUGUGGUGGAGAGAAAGUGCAUCUGUCCUUUCCCCGGUCUCUUUGAAUUUUUUUGGUUUUUAAUUUCUGUAUUUUCCCUUUAUUGUGAUACUGCAUCUCCCAUCUUGACAGCUCAUGCACAAGAAA
rnacentral:lncRNA from 1 species